UUGAUUUUCCUGGUUAUCAUGUAUGGGUAACACAGGAGUAUGCAUGAAACAUCUGUACAAGUUGUGUACACAGCAGAUGAAUAAUACACCCCGAGUAUGGUGAGUAAUGCUGAAGGAAUGGACGGGUUGUUGUCAUUUUGAUAGGAAGACGCGGUAAAAGCAUCACCUCCAAAAUACGUCGCGGUCGUAGAAACUUGCAAGUAAUACCUAAGACGUCAUGGUGAAGAAACGUCCCUACCGGAGCCGCGGUCUCGACCCAGGAGCCGAGCUGACCAUCCACCGCAGGGGACUCUCGCUGAAUCUGGGCAUCGUGCAGCUCUCCUUCGGGAUCAUCUCCUUGAUAUUCGGUAUGGCGCUGAUCCCCGCCUACGCCUGGGGCCAUGAGGCUGCUGUAGGCAUCUGGUCCGGCGUCAUCUUCAUCAUAGCAGGCUCCAUGGUCAUCCACGCACAUCGGAGGCGGAUUCUCAAGAACAUUGUCUAUUGUUCCGCGGGGUGCUUAUUUUCAAUCAUCCUCGGAUUCAUUGUGUUCAUAUUCCAAGCAGUUGCUGUGCAUUAUAACAGACCUAGUUACGAGUAUUAUUGGGAGGCUUGGAAACUGACCCCUACGGACCCCCACCUCCAGUUCUGGAAUAUGAACUACGCAUGCGUGCUUGCUAUGAAUAUUAUUCUCAUGUUCAAUGGAUUGAUACAACUUGGUUGUGGAUUUCAACAGUUCUUUUUAUGCUCCAUGACAAUAUCUCAGUACGAAAAGUUUUUAGCGACAGCAGAGUCGAAUCGAGGACAAGUGAACCAGGCGGCACAAGCAGAGACACCUCCAACUAAGCACAUGCCUGGGCAUGCGCACAGGUGUCCUGCUGACCGGACUAAACCGCCGAAACCUGGCAUUCGGACUGUGAGCAGUCAGGUAUGAGGAGAAUUCCAUGGGGGUCAAGAGACCUUUGCUAUAAUCGUUUCGUACCACAUUCCAUCCCGUUGGAAAGAAAGACAACCUGGGAAGCUUCCGUCCUCCUGUGUUCAAACAAUACGAAGUCAUAUGUAAUCUCGGUGAAAGUGACAGUCGUCCUCGAGUCUUUUGCUUGAAAAGUGGAAAGUAAUCUUUGAGUCGGGAAGUGAGACUGGGAGUACAACUGACCUAACUUCCCACUUCACAGUAUCUUUGAGACAGACAAGCCAAGAGUGUUCGGCACGUCCGUUAUCUUUGAGAUGGACGGUUUGAUAAGGACACGUCCGUGCACAAUGUUGAUGUGUCACCUUCGAGUGAGAGAAGGAACUAUGUAACUAUAGGCAGAGAUAUUUCAUGAAAAGGACACCUCCGCCAUGCCAUCCAAUAAGAUAAUGGUUUAUGAACUGUUUACAUGUACAUCAUUUCUCAACAUAUUCAACUUUUUCAGCAUUUUCAGCAUUUCACAUUCCAUUUGUCCAUUAUUACAUUUGUUAAGAUCUACACAUUUUUGAAUGUGAAUUUCUCACCUCGUAUGUUGUCAUUUUGCAUUGUUUUAUGAUGUUGUGGUUGGUCAUAAAAUACAUUUUUAUAACUGAUGA